rnacentral:rRNA from 1 species
GACGAACGCUGGCGGCGUGCUUAACACAUGCAAGUCGAACGGAGAGGCCCUCACCUUGGUGGGGGUGCUCGAGUGGCGAACGGGUGAGUAACACGUGGGUGAUCUGCCCUGUACUUCGGGAUAAGCUUGGGAAACUGGGUCUAAUACCGGAUAGGACCAUGGUUUAGUGUCACAUGGUGGAAAAAUUAUUGUUUUGGUGCAGGAUGAGCUCGCGGCCUAUCAGCUUGUUGGUGGGGUAAUGGCCUACCAAGGCGUCGACGGGUAGCCGGCCUGAGAGGGUGGACGGCCACAUUGGGACUGAGAUACGGCCCAGACUCCUACGGGAGGCAGCAGUGGGGAAUAUUGCACAAUGGGCGCAAGCCUGAUGCAGCGACGCCGCGUGGGGGAUGACGGCCUUCGGGUUGUAAACUCCUUUCGUUAGGGACGAAGCCACACUUUUUUUGGGUGUGGUGACGGUACCUUUGUUAAGAAGCACCGGCUAACUACGUGCCAGCAGCCGCGGUAAUACGUAGGGUGCGAGCGUUGUCCGGAAUUACUGGGCGUAAAGAGCUCGUAGGUGGUUUGUUGCGUCGUCUGUGAAAUUCCGGGGCUUAACUUCGGGGUGGCAGGCGGUACGGGCAUAACUAGAGUGCUGUAGGGGAGACUGGAAUUCCUGGUGUAGCGGUGGGAUGCGCAGAUAUCAGGAGGAACGCCGAUGGCGAAGGCAGGUCUCUGGGCAGUAACUGACGCUGAGGAGCGAAAGCAUGGGGAGCGAACAGGACUAGAUACCCUGGUAGUCCAUGCUGUAAACGGUGGGCGUUAGGUGUGGGGACCGGUUUGGUUUCUGUGCCGUAGCUAACGCAUUAAGCGCCCCGCCUGGGGAGUACGGCCGCAAGGCUAAAACUCAAAGGAAUUGACGGGGGCCCGCACAAGCGGCGGAGCAUGUGGAUUAAUUCGAUGCAACGCGAAGAACCUUACCUGGGUUUGACAUGCACCAGACGGUUGUAGAGAUACGUACCUCCCUUUGUGGUUGGUGUGCAGGUGGUGCAUGGUUGUCGUCAGCUCGUGUCGUGAGAUGUUGGGUUAAGUCCCGCAACGAGCGCAACCCUUGUCUUAUGUUGCCAGCACGUUUGGGUGGGGACUCAUGAGAGACUGCCGGGGUUAACUCGGAGGAAGGUGGGGAUGACGUCAAAUCAUCAUGCCCUUUAUGCCCAGGGCUUCACACAUGCUACAAUGGUUAGUACAACGCGCGGCGAGCCUGUGAGGGUGAGCGAAUCGCUGAAAGCUAAUCUCAGUUCGGAUUGGGGUCUGCAACUCGACCCCAUGAAGUCGGAGUCGCUAGUAAUCGCAGAUCAGCAAUGCUGCGGUGAAUACGUUCCCGGGCCU